CUCUAAUGAUGUUAAAAAAAUUGGUUCUCCUGAAAAACAACCAUGAUGAUUAACAUGGAGUUUUGAUUUGAAGAGA